GCCCUUCGGGGUACUCGAGCGGCGAACGGGUGAGUAACACGUGAGUAACCUGCCCCUGACUCUGGGAUAAGCCUGGGAAACCGGGUCUAAUACCGGAUACGACCAUCCCCGGCAUCUGGUGGUGGUGGAAAGUUUUUCGGUUGGGGAUGGGCUCGCGGCCUAUCAGCUUGUUGGUGGGGUGAUGGCCUACCAAGGCGACGACGGGUAGCCGGCCUGAGAGGGCGACCGGCCACACUGGGACUGAGACACGGCCCAGACUCCUACGGGAGGCAGCAGUGGGGAAUAUUGCGCAAUGGGCGGAAGCCUGACGCAGCGACGCCGCGUGGGGGAUGACGGCCUUCGGGUUGUAAACCUCUUUCGGCAGGGACGAAGUUGACGUGUACCUGUAGAAGAAGCGCCGGCUAACUACGUGCCAGCAGCCGCGGUAAUACGUAGGGCGCAAGCGUUGUCCGGAAUUAUUGGGCGUAAAGAGCUCGUAGGUGGCUUGUCGCGUCUGCCGUGAAAGCCCGUGGCUUAACUACGGGUCUGCGGUGGAUACGGGCAGGCUAGAGGCUGGUAGGGGCAAGUGGAAUUCCUGGUGUAGCGGUGAAAUGCGCAGAUAUCAGGAGGAACACCGGUGGCGAAGGCGGCUUGCUGGGCCAGUUCUGACGCUGAGGAGCGAAAGCGUGGGGAGCGAACAGGAUUAGAUACCCUGGUAGUCCACGCUGU
rnacentral:rRNA from 1 species